AGGAACUUAGGUUAACACCCAGACCAAGAGCCUUCAAAGCUCUAAGCGGGGGUGAAAAUCCCCCAGUCCCUG
rnacentral:tRNA from 1 species